GAUUAACGCUAGCGGCAGGCCUAAUACAUGCAAGUCGAGGGGCAGCAGGGUGUAGCAAUACAUCGCUGGCGACCGGCGCACGGGUGCGUAACACGUAUGCAACCUACCUUUAACUGGGGAAUAGCCCUCCGAAAGGAGGAUUAACACCGCAUAACAUCACGAGACGGCAUCGCCUUGUGAUCAAACCUCCGGGGGUUAAAGAUGGGCAUGCGUCCGAUUAGCUAGUUGGCGGGGUAACGGCCCACCAAGGCGACGAUCGGUAGGGGUCUGAGAGGAUGAUCCCCCACACUGGUACUGAGACACGGACCAGACUCCUACGGGAGGCAGCAGUAAGGAAUAUUGGACAAUGGUCGCAAGACUGAUCCAGCCAUGCCGCGUGCAGGAUGAACGAUCUAUGAUCUGUAAACUGCUUUUGUUCGGGAAUAAACCCCUUCACGUGUGGAGGGCUGAAUGUACCGAAAGAAUAAGGGUCGGCUAACUUCGUGCCAGCAGCCGAC
rnacentral:rRNA from 1 species